CAGCAGCCACGGGAAUACGGAGGGGGCUAGCGUUGUUCGGAAUUACUGGGCGUAAAGCGCACGUAGGCGGCUUUGUAAGUCAGAGGUGAAAGCCCGGGGCUCAACCCCGGAAUUGCCUUUGAGACUGCAUCGCUUGAAUCCAGGAGAGGUGAGUGGAAUUCCGAGUGUAGAGGUGAAAUUCGUAGAUAUUCGGAAGAACACCAGUGGCGAAGGCGGCUCACUGGACUGGUAUUGACGCUGAGGUGCGAAAGCGUGGGGAGCAAACAGGAUUAGAUACCCCAGUAGUCCCUGUCUCUUAUAC
rnacentral:rRNA from 1 species